GAUGAACGCUGGCGGCGUGCCUAAUACAUGCAAGUCGAGCGAACAGACGAGGAGCUUGCUCCUCUGACGUUAGCGGCGGACGGGUGAGUAACACGUGGAUAACCUACCUAUAAGACUUGGAUAACUUCGGGAAACCGGAGCUAAUACCGGAUAAUAUAUUGAACCGCAUGGUUCAAUAGUGAAAGACGGUUUUGCUGUCACUUAUAGAUGGAUCCGCGCCGCAUUAGCUAGUUGGUAAGGUAACGGCUUACCAAGGCAACGAUGCGUAGCCGACCUGAGAGGGUGAUCGGCCACACUGGAACUGGGACACGGUCCAGACUCCUACGGGAGGCAGCAGUAGGGAAUCUUCCGCAAUGGGCGAAAGCCUGACGGAGCAACGCCGCGUGAGUGAUGAAGGUCUUCGGAUCGUAAAACUCUGUUAUUAGGGAAGAACAAAUGUGUAAGUAACUAUGCACGUCUUGACGGUACCUAAUCAGAAAGCCACGGCUAACUACGUG
rnacentral:rRNA from 1 species